UCCCUGGUAGCUCAGAUGGUAAAGCGUCUGCCUGCAAUGCGGGAGACCCGGGUUCGAUUCCUGGGUCGGGAA
rnacentral:tRNA from 1 species